ACUCUCCAGAUUCCUUACCCCUCAGAUCUAAAUACUGGUCUGAGUGGCUAAAAAAGGAGGAAAGUAAAACUGAAGCAGACUUGUCGUCUUCAGUGACAUACAAGUUCAUUUCAAACAUAU
rnacentral:snoRNA from 1 species